rnacentral:miRNA from 6 species
UAAUGGCACUGGAAGAAUUCAC